GUAGUUAUCAGCUCUGUGUUGUAUUUUGUAAGGGAAGUCUCAUUAUAGGUACAUAUGUACAUAGAAUUACAUAUAGACUUCGCUAUUAUCGCGAUUUCGGGUAUCCACGAAAAGACUUGUUCAGUGUCUUUUGAAUUUGACUUCGAACAUCGUCCAUUGUACAUUCAUAGUCUGUGAACAUGUUGACAAUCGUUACCUUUUGCGCUGCCAAGGUUGGGAAAACAAAUGCUGCCGAUGGUUACAUAAUAAUUAUAAUUAUAUUUCUUUAUAGUAAUACAUAUUGUAUAAUAGUUAUAUUUCAUUAUUAACACCUUCGCGUCGGAAGACUCAUUAUUGCGUUCAAUUGAAAACUGCCACUUGGCUACAGAUAAUGCAUUAAUCUGAAAGAGUUAGAAUUGAACCCCCACGUAUAUUAGUUCUCAUUUUUGAGAUUGAUAUACAACAUAACAUCGUCAAUAGUGAAAUGGUUUGGGACAUACUCCCUGGGAUAGAGUCGUAGAGAAAAAAAAGGUUGGGUCAAGUAUCGCUAUUGUCCCUGAUCUCUUCGACCCUAAACGAAGACAGAAUUCCUCGUGUCUAUUCACUCGCACUCACGCAAAUCCGUCCGCUUCGUUCCGUCGAAACCAAAAUGAUUUGGUUUGGACGGAAAGGGGUCCACGGAAUAUCGUCACGGAUUUUACACAAACACUACUAUGAAUUGAGUAUUCAUGAAUCCGUCCACAAUCCUUAUUUUCGGUUUCCGUCGUCAUUUCGUGACGGUUUUUCAGAGAAACCGGCCUCAUCGACUCAAAUCACUCGUUCCGUCGACCAUUUCGUCCGGCCUAAACGAACGGAAUGUUCCGUAGCGAUCUCGUUCAGAAAAACCAGGGCUUUACUCGUAACUUUGGUAUGGGACAUGUUGGUUACGGACUACAUUAUAGUUUGAGCGGUCCAUGUAUGUAUGGUUGAAACGAUGUUACCACAGUAUAGGUACAACCAGUAGCGUCACUCCGUGUCGGCACCUUUGAUGUUGUGUCCGAGGUCCGCUAUGUUCCUAGUAGGCACCGUGUGCAUAUAUAAACUAUUUAUAAUAUUUAAACUGAAUAUUAUUUUAAAAAAUUUUAAAUAAUAUUCAGAUUACCAAGUAACACAAAGAGGAACGUCAACGAAAUAGAAUGAAACACAACCCACCACCUGAAACCUUUGGAAAACGUUCGAUAACGUACUGAACACGUAGAAUUGCACUAAAUUACAUUAUUUAACACAGUCUCAAUCGAUUCCAUAUGCUGGAACGCUCGAUAAUCGCGUUUAUACGAAACCGACACCAACGGUAUUCCAACGACCUGAAACCUUUGGAAAACGUUUGAUAACGUACUGAACCCGUGGAAUUAUACUAAAUUACAGUGUUUAACACGGUUUCAAUCGAUUCCAUAGGCUGGAACAGUCGAUAUUCUGGUUUAUAGGAAACCGACGCCAACGACAUUCCGGCAACCCGAAACCUUUGGAAAACGUUUGAUAACGUACUGAACACGUAGGAUUGUACUAAAUUACAUUGUUUAAUACAGUUUCAAACGAUUCCAUACGCAGUAUGUUACUGUGACGCUGCGCAAUAAAUUGAAUCGACGUGUGACGCUGCGCGUGGUGUCGGUUACUAUUAGUACCAUCUAGUGUACAAUAUAGGAAACAGCGUUGUCGUCAUGUUCUUGUGUCUUGGAAACCAAACCUAACCCUAAACAUCUCCUAUUGCGUACGUGGAAGAAGAUUGUGGUGUUUUUAGCGAUGCAGGGGAGCUCAUACGAUCCCUGGCUUUCUCCAAAAGGGAGGGGAGAAGGUCCUUCCUCUAACGAGGGGAGGAAAAAGACAGAUCUUCCUGAUUCCCAGUUAUACGUACCCGCACUAGACAUA